AUGGGGGGACCAUCCUCCAAGGCUAAAUACUCAUCAUCGACCGAUAGUGAACCAGUACCGUGAGGGAAAGGCGAAAAGAACCCCGGGAGGGGAGUGAAAUAGAACCUGAAACCUGAUGCAUACAAACAGUGGGAGCACCCUUAUGGUGUGACUGCGUACCUUUUGUAUAAUGGGUCAACGACUUACAUUCAGUAGCGAGCUUAACCGGAUAGGGGAGGCGUAGGGAAACCGAGUCUUAAUAGGGCGACAUAGUUGCUGGGUGUAGACCCGAAACCGAGUGAUCUAUCCAUGGCCAGGUUGAAGGUGCCGUAACAGGUACUGGAGGACCGAACCCACGCAUGUUGCAAAAUGCGGGGAUGAGCUGUGGAUAGGGGUGAAAGGCUAAACAAACUCGGAGAUAGCUGGUUCUCCCCGAAAACUAUUUAGGUAGUGCCUCGAGCUAGACACUGAUGGGGGUAAAGCACUGUUAUGGCUAGGGGGUCAUUGCGACUUACCAACCCAUGGCAAACUAAGAAUACCAUCAAGUGGUUCCUCGGGAGACAGACAGCGGGUGCUAACGUCCGUUGUCAAGAGGGAAACAACCCAGACCGCCAGCUAAGGUCCCAAAUGAUAGAUUAAGUGGUAAACGAAGUGGGAAGGCCCAGACAGCCAGGAUGUUGGCUUAGAAGCAGCCAUCAUUUAAAGAAAGCGUAAUAGCUCACUGGUCGAGUCGUCCUGCGCGGAAGAUGUAACGGGGCUCAAAUCUAUAACCGAAGCUGCGGAUGCUAGUUUACUGGCAUGGUAGGGGAGCGUUCUGUAGGCCGAUGAAGGUGCAUUGUAAAGUGUGCUGGAGGUAUCAGAAGUGCGAAUGUUGACAUGAGUAGCGAUAAAGCGGGUGAAAAGCCCGCUCGCCGAAAGCCCAAGGUUUCCUACGCAACGUUCAUCGGCGUAGGGUGAGUCGGCCCCUAAGGCGAGGCAGAAAUGCGUAGUCGAUGGGAAACAGGUUAAUAUUCCUGUACUUGAUUCAAAUGCGAUGUGGGGACGGAGAAGGUUAGGUUAGCAAGCUGUUGGAAUAGCUUGUUUAAGCCGGUAGGUGGAAGACUUAGGCAAAUCCGGGUCUUCUUAACACCGAGAAGUGACGACGAGUGUCUACGGACAUGAAGUAACCGAUACCACGCUUCCAGGAAAAGCCACUAAGCUUCAGUUUGAAUUGAACCGUACCGCAAACCGACACAGGUGGGCAGGAUGAGAAUUCUAAGGCGCUUGAGAGAACUCGGGAGAAGGAACUCGGCAAAUUGAUACCGUAACUUCGGGAGAAGGUAUGCCCUCUAAUGUUAAGGACUUGCUCCGUAAGCAUAGGAGGGUCGCAGAGAAUCGGUGGCUGCGACUGUUUAUUAAAAACACAGCACUCUGCAAACACGAAAGUGGACGUAUAGGGUGUGACGCCUGCCCGGUGCUGGAAGGUUAAUUGAAGAUGUGAGAGCAUCGGAUCGAAGCCCCAGUAAACGGCGGCCGUAACUAUAACGGUCCUAAGGUAGCGAAAUUCCUUGUCGGGUAAGUUCCGACCCGCACGAAUGGCGUAACGAUGGCCACACUGUCUCCUCCCGAGACUCAGCGAAGUUGAAAUGGUUGUGAAGAUGCAAUCUCCCCGCUGCUAGACGGAAAGACCCCGUGAACCUUUACUGUAGCUUUGCAUUGGACUUUGAAGUCACUUGUGUAGGAUAGGUGGGAGGCUUAGAAGCAGAGACGCCAGUUUCUGUGGAGCCGUCCUUGAAAUACCACCCUGGUGGCUUUGAGGUUCUAACCCAGACCCGUAAUCCGGGUCGGGGACCGUGCAUGGUAGGCAGUUUGACUGGGGCGGUCUCCUCCCAAAGAGUAACGGAGGAGUUCGAAGGUUACCUAGGUCCGGUCGGAAAUCGGACUGAUAGUGCAAUGGCAAAAGGUAGCUUAACUGCGAGACCGACAAGUCGAGCAGGUGCGAAAGCAGGACAUAGUGAUCCGGUGGUUCUG
rnacentral:rRNA from 1 species